UUCCAGAUGGCGCAGUGGUUAACGCAACUGGCUAAUAAGCAGGAGACCCUGGGUUCAAAUCCCAGUCUGGCAC